CAGUGGCUGCUUUGAUUUGGCCGUAAGUGGUCUGACCAUCAAGGUCACCAUCAGUGUGGGCAGCGACGAAACAGGACGACCCACCGUAAGCAGCAAUGGCUGCGUGGCCAGCGUGGGUGAUGUCAGUAUCACAUUUCAUGGAGGGGCCAGUUGGUUGUAUAACCUUUUUACAAGCUUCAUUGAUCAAGCUUUGCGAGAUUCUUUACAGAACCAGAUUUGCCCUCUGGUGCAUGACGCCAUAUCUGAUAUAAACCCCCAACUGAAAACUCUGAAUGUGCUAGCUACAGUGGAUAAGUAUGCUGAAAUUGAGUACUC